GUGGCUUGGCGCCUGCAGCCAUGCGACGCUGACUUCCGGCUAGGAGACGUCAGUUCCGCUCUCUCCAUCCGCGGGUAGUUGCUUUUCCCGUUGCUGUGGCGACCGACCGCUCGGAAAUGUUGGCUUCAAGAGCUCUGAGAUUGAUCACCAAGCAUGGAAUUUCUUCUACUGUUUGUAUCCGAGCCCAUGGACAUGUGCACAGAGUUGAAUGCAGUGGUCUAAGUGUGGCCUGACAAAACCAUUGUACAGUCUCAUAACCACAAGACGUACUGUGUUAUUCUGCUUAUAUUCUCCAGCAUCCUGCUUCAACUGUUUUACCACGUUGUCUGGAUACUAAAAGUGAUUACUCUUCCUUUAUUCUAAGUAUCUUUCUCAGUCAGUCUGCAAAUUCAGUUCUGUUCUUUUAAUUUUGUAUGUAUUAGAACAAUGUGGAAAACUUCACAUUUUACGUUUAAAUUAAAUUGAAUUUUCCAAACCCUUUUGUAUAUUGUAUGCUCUGUCAUAUUUUUAGUGUGUUAAGAAAACCUGAAUUUAUGUUGGAAAUCCAUAUCUACAUUGUAAAUGUAGACCAGAAGCUCUGGGAUUUAUGAUCUUAACAGAAACACGAAUAGCAGGAAAAUCACUACAAUCAUUAACUCUUAGACUGAGUGUUCUAUGUAGAAAAUGAUAAAAUGAAAGUUAGUUUACUUAUCACUGUUUGCAUCUGGUGUGAAUACUGAGCUGUGCGAUCAGUAAUUCAUUUCAGCGUACUUUAACUAAGAUUUAUAGAGAUUUAUUCAAAUGCUACAGAAGGAAACCCAUGAGGAGAUCAGAAGUACG